UGCUGUUCUCGGCAACCAGAUCUUUGUAAUGGGAGGCGACACCGAAUUCUCUGCUUGCUCUGCUUACAAAUUCAGCAGUGAGACUUAUCAGUGGACUAAAGUUGGAGAUGUUACGGCAAAACGAAUGAGCUGCCAAGCGGUGGCCUCUGGAAACAAACUUUAUGUGGUGGGUGGCUACUUCGGUACACAGCGCUGCAAAACCCUGGACUGUUACGACCCCACACUGGAUGCCUGGAACAGCAUCACUACUGUACCAUAUUCCUUAAUCCCCACUGCCUUCGUCAGCACCUGGAAACACCUCCCAGCCUGAAGCACGCCUGUUCUCCCCUGUGUGACUCUACUGUCCUACGAGAGUUCUUUGUGUCCGUUUGUCGUUAUUGUCUACUGGGUUCCAACUGUGAAGAGACGCUAUAACCUUCCUGUGCAAUUUUAUGAAGAGACUUUCUCCCAUAAGAGCUAAAUAUUGUGUACGAAGUCCAGCCUCAAAGCUUUUUUUCCCGCUGCUUCACCGGUUCACCAGUUGUUUUCUUUUCUUUUUUUUUUUUUACUUCAAGUACAUUGCGACGUCAUAUCCUACAUUUUGUGGAGUAUCAGAAGGUGGACUUCACAGUGAAAACCAAAAGAA